rnacentral:rRNA from 1 species
GACGGAGGAUGCAAGUGUUAUCCGGAAUCACUGGGCGUAAAGCGUCUGUAGGUGGUUCGAAAGUCCACUGUUAAAAAUUGAGGCUUAACUUCAAAGAUGCCGUGGAAACUUUCAAACUAGAGUAUGGUAGGGGUAGAGGGAAUUUCCAGUGGAGCGGUGAAAUGCGUAGAUAUUGGAAAGACACCGAUGGCGAAGCAGCUCAUACCUGGGCCAACUACUGACACUGGAGAGACGAAAGCUAGGGGAGCAAAUGGG